UACUGGAGCAGGUCCAGAGAAGGGCAACAAGGCUAGUGAAGGGCUUGGAAAAUCAGCCCUAUGAGGAGAGCGGGGUAGGUCUCUUCUCACUGGUGACAGGUGACAAGAGGAGGGGAAAUGGCCUCAAGUUGCACCAAGGUAAGUUUAGGUUGGACAUUAGGAAACACUUCUUUACAGAAAGGGUGGUUAAACACUGGAAUAGGCUCCCCAGGGAGGUGGUUGAGUCACUGUCCCUGGAUGUGUUUAAGAGCAGUUUGGAUGUGGUGCUCAGAGAUAUGAUUUAGCAGAGGGUUGUUAGAGUUAGGGUACUAUGGUUAGGCUGCGGUUGGACUUGAUGAUCUUUGAGGUCCUUUCCAACCUGAGUAAUUCUAUGAUUCUAUGAUUCUAAA
ensembl:lncRNA